AGGUGUGUCCUUGCCCACGUGUAUGUAAAAGAAAUGGCUGAUAGUUCUUUAGACAAAUCUUUAGAUAAACCACCUCCAGCCCCUAAACUUGGCCGUGGAUUGAGUAAACAGUAUUCAAUAUACCCCAGGAAACCAUCACUAAAGACUCUCCUUGGUACUCUCACUGCUGCCAUUGAUGUGGUCAAAUUUUUGUACAGUAAUGACUUCACGAGAUCUGUUGGCAGAGAUAUAAUAUUCUUUGGUGGAUCAGUUGUUAUAAUAAAGAUGGUUGUCAGUGCAAUGCAAGAAGAAUGAAUAGUUAAUUAAUAAUUCUGACAUUAUUAAUAGUCAUGUGUCUGUUUAUGUACUACUCUUGCAAUAUUCAUUAGUUCUGUGCUAGCUUGUGAAUUUGGA